rnacentral:rRNA from 1 species
CAGUAGCCGCGGGAAUACGAAGGGGGCUAGCGUUGCUCGGAAUGACUGGGCGUAAAGGGCGCGUAGGCGGCGGCCAAAGUCAGACGUGAAAUUCCUGGGCUCAACCUGGGGGCUGCGUUUGAUACUUGGUUGCUUGAGUGGGGAAGAGGGUCGUGGAAUUCCCAGUGUAGAGGUGAAAUUCGUAGAUAUUGGGAAGAACACCGGUGGCGAAGGCGGCGACCUGGUCCUUGACUGACGCUGAGGCGCGAAAGCGUGGGGAGCAAACAGGAUUAGAGACCCCCGUAGUCCCUGUCUCUUAUAC